UUAGACGCCUUUCGUAUCAGAAGAUAACGCCUGUGCAAACCUUCAAUUAUAAAUUAUUUGAGGAGCUCAAGACUCGAGUAUUUUGGCAUAACUGAUUCAUAGGCGUCUGAAUAGAGGAUUUAUGUAGAGAGGUGUUAAGCAGACAACAAUAAAAAUAAACGAUGGUGCGGAGAGUGCAGAGGAGGAGAAGAGAAACGGCAGCUGCAAAAACAACAAAAAGCUCAGACAAGAAAAGAAGAAGAAAAAAAGAAGACGCCGGUACAGUUGCGCUCACACACACUCACAUGCACACACAAGAAAUUCGCAAAGAGCGUAAAAAAUAUAAAAAAAAAAAUGCAGCGUGGCGCUUUUAUAACGGAACACAAAACAAAAAAAAAGCCAAAGCAAAACAGACGCUGCACUCAAAACAAUACGAAGGGAGAGGAGCAAGAAGAAGACUUACGGAGAGCGCAAUUGAAAACUCCCCAGGGAAUUGGCGGUUCUAAUCGCGGCACGGGUGGAGACCUUAUCGAUAAGCUCUAAGAGGUCUCACAAAUAUCACGCUCCAUUUGGGCCCCACGGGAUGUUUGAUAUGUUUAGUUGAAAGUACGCAAAAAAGGGAAAUAAAAUGGAACGAAACAAACAGGGGUUCUUGUGCGUAACCCCGAUUUCCGAUACUCCCCCUGAGAGCCCUGGGACCCCUAAGACCCCAUUAGACCCCUUUAGACCCCUCUUUAAAACCCCUCCCGCACUUCUGCAAGGGUCGCAUUUGCGGUCGCAGUUUGUUAUCCAUUCAAAGCAGGCGUUUCCGCUCAUAUUUGCAACUACAAUUAAAAAGCAAAAGCUGGGGAACUGAUAAUACUCUUAUAGAAUAUUUAAAAA